rnacentral:rRNA from 1 species
UGGGGAAUUUUGGACAAUGGGCGAAAGCCUGAUCCAGCAAUGCCGCGUGUGUGAAGAAGGCCUUCGGGUUGUAAAGCACUUUUGUCCGGAAAGAAAUGGCUCUGGUUAAUACCUGGGGUCGAUGACGGUACCGGAGGAAUAAGGACCGGCUAACUACGUGCCAGCAGCCGCGGUAAUACGUAGGGUCCAAGCGUUAAUCGGAAUUACUGGGCGUAAAGCGUGCGCAGGCGGUUGUGCAAGACCGAUGUGAAAUCCCCGAGCUUAACUUGGGAAUUGCAUUGGUGACUGCACGGCUAGAGUGUGUCAGAGGGGGGUAGAAUUCCACGUGUAGCAGUGAAAUGCGUAGAGAUGUGGAGGAAUACCGAUGGCGAAGGCAGCCCCCUGGGAUAACACUGACGCUCAUGCACGAAAGCGUGGGGAGCAAACAGG